GACAGAGGUGCCGAGCGUUAGGCGGAAUCACUGGGCUUAAAGCGUGUGUAGGCGGGCGGGCAAGUACCUUGUGAAAUCCCACGGCUCAACCGUGGAACGGCUGGGUAUACUGCCUGUCUUGAGCCAACUAGGGGCGAGCGGAACAGACGGUGGAGCGGUGAAAUGCGUAGAGAUCGGAAAGAACACCAACGGCGAAAGCACUCUGCUGGGCCGACACUGACACUGAGAGACGAAAGCUAGGGGAGCGAAUGGG
rnacentral:rRNA from 1 species